rnacentral:rRNA from 1 species
UGUCCCAGUUCGGACUGGAGUCUGCAACCCGACUCCACGAAGUUGGAUUCGCUAGUAAUCGCGCAUCAGCCAUGGCGCGGUGAAUACGUUCCCGGGCCUUGUACACACCGCCCGUCAAGCCAUGGGAGCCGGGGGCGCCUGAAGUCCGGGACCGCGAGGACCGGCCUAGGGCGAAACUGGUAACUGGGGCUAAGUCGUAACAAGGUAGC